rnacentral:misc_RNA from 1 species
GAUGAAGAACGUAGCGAAAUGCGAUAAGUAAUGUGAAUUGCAGAAUUCAGUGAAUCAUCGAAUCUUUGAACGCACAUUGCGCCCUCUGGUAUUCCGGGGGGCAUGCCUGUUCGAGCGUCAUUUACACCCCUCAAGCCUAGCUUGGUAUUGGGAGCCUGCCCCCCCGGGGGCAAUCCCGAAAUGCAGCGGCGGUGCGGCCGGAUUUCCUAGCGCAGUGACUCAUAUCAUCGCUACAAGGAAUCCGCGUCGUCCCGGCCGGACAACAACCAAAUUUUACCACGAUUGACCUCGGAUCAGGUAGGGAUACCCGCUGAACUUAAGCAUAUCAAUAGCGGAGGA